AAAUAAGAAAAUACUAAACCAAUACUAACUAGGUAAUUAUAAACCUGCAAAAAGUUAUUAAAUAUUCCUAAUAACAAUAGAGUUCUUAAAUAAUAGGAACAUAAGCUUCAUUGUAGAAAUAGUACUAGAAAUUGAAUUAAAGAUCUUAAUUUCAAAAUUAAAAAUUAUAUUAACAAAAUCUCUAGAUCUAGUUUUCCUUACUGGACCACCACAAGGACAAAAACUAUGGUGAGUUGAUGGGCUAAAUGCAACAACUUCAGAGUUUAGCUACCACUUGGUGCAUGUAGUCUAAAUAUAAUAAAAUUUGAAUCAGAACACAGAAGAAACAUUUAGCCACCACUUGGAGCGAAACAUUUCCUUUUUGGAUGAAAUAUCCCACUAUACAAAAGUAUUGUUUUUAUGAGAUAUUUAACUAUGCCUGUGAUUAUCGGAAAGGGCAUUAACAAAAAAUGAAUAAAAGAGAGUUCAUAAUAAUUAAUGAAAAAGGCUUGGCCUCUAUCUUAAAAGAAGAACAAACCUAGUUUAUAAUCAAAAUAUAGUUAUUCAAAUUUCAAAUUAAGAAAUCAGAUGAUGGAUUCUGUAAAGAUAAUACCUUUCUCCUUAACAUCAAUCUG
rnacentral:misc_RNA from 1 species